rnacentral:lncRNA from 1 species
CUUCCGGUUAAACCGCUAAACCGCAAGAUUCGUACUUCACUGUCAUAUUUCUUUGUAUAAUUGUCCUGAUGAUGCCUAUCUACUAGGCGAAACAUGUAGACCCAAUAAACAGAUACUAUGCGGUAAAAACAUGAGUGUUGUUGUCUUUAUUGUCGACACAUUCUUUAUUAUCAAGAUGACUGUGAAUACCUAGCGGUAUCCACUCGUUUUUACCCUACCACACGAUCACCACUUCAUGUGUUGGUUCACUCGUAUUUUUAUUAUCUUA